UUAAAUUGAAGAGUUUGAUCAUGGCUCAGAUUGAACGCUGGCGGCAGGCCUAACACAUGCAAGUCGAACGGUAACAGAAAGCAGCUUGCUGCUUUGCUGA
rnacentral:rRNA from 3 species